rnacentral:rRNA from 1 species
GUGGGGAAUCUUGGGCAAUGGGCGCAAGCCUGACCCAGCCAUGCCGCGUGUGUGAAGAAGGCCUUCGGGUUGUAAAGCACUUUCAGUAGCGAAGAAAAGCUUAGGGUUAAUACCUCUGGGUUUUGACGUUAACUACAGAAGAAGCACCGGCUAACUCCGUGCCAGCAGCCGCGGUAAUACGGAGGGUGCGAACGUUAAUCGGAAUUACUGGGCGUAAAGCGCGCGUAGGCGGUUCGACAAGUGGGGUGUGAAAGCCCAGGGCUUAACCUUGGAACUGCAUUCCAAACUGUCGGACUAGAGUAUGGUAGAGGGAGGUAGAAUUUCCUGUGUAGCGGUGAAAUGCGUAGAUAUAGGAAGGAAUACCGGUGGCGAAGGCGGCCUCCUGGACCAAUACUGACGCUGAAGUGCGAAAGCGUGGGGAGCAAACAGG